UGAUGCCGGCCGCAUAUACCGACCAUUCAUCGAACCAAAGCCAGCUAAUGUAGCAGAAACUAUUCCACCCUUUUCUCGUGUACAAUCCAGUCAAACUGGUGAAUUAUAGAAUUUCAUUUGCAAAACGGUUAAUGUGGAAGCGUUUUAGAGUGAACCGUAAAGUGUUCGGUCUCGAACGACGUGUUUAGAAUUGAGAGAAAAUUGGAAUUAUGCGACGCGUUUUGGUGAGUGCGGUUUCGUGUGUUCGAUCAGUGACUGUAUAUGGUUCCGUACUAACUUGGAGGGUGGCCAUAACAAGAUAGAAAGCUGCUUUGUUUCAUUUUACAUCAACGAAUAUUGCGACUGCAACGGAAGGAAAGGUAGUGCAAUGGUUUUGUGGGUGAAAAGCAGUGAAGAAUACAGUUACGGGUGUUCGGGAAAUGAUAACAUCGUAAUUGAGAAGCUAGAGGUGAUUGUCGAAAGAAUUCGACUGCGUCACAAAUCAGUGAAUUGUUGACGGUGUCGGCUUCCGCAAGACAAAAAGUACAAAAAGUUAUGUCGACGAUUUGAGCUGAGCUAAACUAAACGAAAAGUGUGUGGUAAUAGACACUUGAGUUAAAUGAUAUUGUUAGAUGGCAUAUUUUUUUUUUAAGGUUUGCUUUCGUCGUGCAACCAAACCUUCAUUCGACCGUAUCCGUCAAGUCUAUUACAAAGUUUGUGCAAUUUGUCGUAUAUUAGCUACGAUAAGUGUACGUAAAAUUUGUUUGAUUUAGGUCGAGCAUACAAUCAUUCGACCUUAUUCGUCAAAUCCCUUACAAAGUUUGCGCAACAAGUCGUGUACAACUGAGCUGUGUAAUUAAAACCGCAUUUCUAAUUGCGGAAUGUUUGCUUGCCAUGUGAAAAAAGGCUUAUUGCAUCAUUUUCAAAAAAGAUUUUGGUCGUAAGAAGCGAUUGGAGAUCAUAGUCUGAAGAACUGGAUAUGUCUGCCCAAUGAAAAGGUAUUUCGCAAAAGUAUGUCGAUUUUGCCGAUUGGUGGUGCUGUUGCCCACAACAGCAUCAAACAAACACUGUUGUUGUAAGUGAGAUAUUUCAUGAUCGUUUAUUUAUCUAUGCUAUUUCUCUCAAAAAACGUAACUGUGAUAUGGUUCACCCAGCGAAAAUGUGCUUUUUAAUUGGGCUGGCAUCUUAUAGACAAAUUCCGCUUGAACUGAUAUCGCUGGUUGUACAUGCAUGAAACAUUGCGAAUAAAAUUCUUGUGUUGAAUGAAAUUUGAUAGUGGGGAUGAAAAUCAAACAUAAACCUUCUCUUGUAGGACUAACAUAAGAACUAUUGUUAUAACGAAACUCAUUUUCUAACUACAACAACGCACUUGAAGUCCACGUGGUAAUCCUUACCUGAAAGCUCUAUUUAGCAGCGCGUCUCCCGUUUAAUGCCCUCUCCCUUACCAGGCGUUUUGCUCUAAGAAGUUUUUUUUCUUAUGCAUGGAUGCUUUGGAUGGAUAAGUUCAUGCUAACUAUCGGGUUUGAGUUUAAAAGUACACGAUACUAUUUACUAUCCAGUUUAAUAGUCGCCUUCAGCACGGACUGCGUACGCUGAGAUUCGAUUUGACGCCCGCUUCAAGAUUAGUUCUUUACCUAUGAUUCAAAACCUCUGACACAAUGAUGGCUUAUUCAUUCUACCGGUGGUUUUGCGUCGCGAAGGCGUAAUUUCUCGGUUUUGUGCUGGAUCAAAUGUAGCUUGCCAGCCGGGAUUUAAUAUUGGGGAAAAGGAAGAUAUUAAUGAGUGUUUCUCCUGUUUCUGUAUGAGGUUCUUUUCGAUAUUGUGUUAAGAACUAGCUGAAGUUUGAUUUCAGUGCAGAAUUUUUAUUAAUGUUAAUGGCCUUCAGAGCGUUCUGAUAAGUCUGCACGUAGCUGUAGAGUCCACUUUAUUCGGUCCGGUCGGUACCAUUGCUACUAAGCAACUGCCCCACGAUCUUCAAGUGCUCUCCUAUUGCCUCCUGACCGUCUUCUCCUCUUAAGCUCUUUCUCUCUCUUCUCAUUUGUUCCCUAGCCAUGCUCCUUUAUCUUUCUCCUGCUCACAAAGUAUGUUCAUCAUUAAAAAAUCGUCUUAUAGUUACAGUUUCUGUAUGUUAAUUAUAGUAUAUAUUGAGUUCAGUUCAAUUCAGUUCAGAUUAGCUUAAACAUGUAGUCUCGCGCACCCAAACUAUUUUUUGCUGCUAAGUUUCUGCGUUAGCCAGUCCUCUAUUCACAAUUUCCUGUUUCAUAUCGUCCUUCGUGUUCGUUUGUGUAAGGUUAUGUCUAAAAUGAGAAGAAAAUAGAGGUCGUUACUGGUAUCUGAGUGGUAGUAUAUCCGGCGGUAUUGGGCAUGGGUGUUCUUCAAUCGAGUCUCCACAUGGAAUCCGUUUGCUUAGGUUUGGGGUUCGCUUCUCCAGAGUUCCUUUUUGCGUCAAUCGAAAGCUGCGUUGGUGAUGUUCGUUAUGUGUUCUGUCGCUGUUGCAAUCGAAU